UCGUCAGUGCGGUACAUCCUGACCUGCCCCCGCGUGGGCAGCGCGUGAUGAGAGCGUGCGUGAUGACGUAUGAUUACAGCACGCCGGGGGCGGGGCCACGCAACAACCAAUGGGCUCCGCCCCUUUGCUCUGAC
rnacentral:snoRNA from 1 species